ensembl:lncRNA
AUGACAAAGCGUAAGAUCAUGAAUGAGUCUUCUAUGGCUCUAUCUUUUUUGUUUUUUUUCAUGGUGACAUUGGCAGUGCGCGUCUUCUGCGUGAGUCACGAAACGUUGCGAAACGCGCUGGCGAGCGGACGGAAACUUUGCAUCAAACGGCCAAACGCCUCGGAUGUGGGGGAGAACAUAAAGGCAUCGAAGCGGGUGCGAUGGACACACGGGAAGAAUCGGAGCUGUCGAGCUACGACUUGGAGCAGCCGCGGCGAUCCCGUUAACCCCGACGUGUCAUCCGCAAACAAAACCGGUCCCCGAGUCUCUCCGCUCGGCUGCAGUCGCCGACCGGUCGCCGAGCGGUCGGCGAGCGGUCGGCGCGAAGGAAGGAUUUCUUCCUCGGAUGAUGAGAUAAAAUCAGUGCUCGCCCUGGAACCGUCUCCCACCUCACGACAGUUAUUCCAGUCACGGCGAGGCUGCUGCGCGUUGCAUCUCUCCGUCGAGAGGAGGAGGAGGAGAAGAAGAAGAAGAAGAAGAAGAAGAAGAAGAAGAAAAGAAGAAACCGCCUGUCAAUCUGCCUCCUAUCGGAGCAACACUUGGUCCCAGAGGGCGUCGCGACUUACUGUGGUGUCUUGUUGCUCCUCGUCGUCGAAGCCCCUCCGCGCGUCGGGAGAGGAUGUUGGUAAAGUCCAGAUCCGAAUAACAAAAUGCAUCCAACUCAGCACAAUACGACAGGAUGUACAUUUGAUCCCAGAGUGAGCUGUCGUGUCACUUGUGUGAUCGCAAUAAGGCGCGUGACAGUGACUGGAUGCGAGUGUUUGAGUCAUUAUGUUGGAAGUGAAAACAGCCAACUUCAUCUCUGACUCCGUCAUCAGAUGAGUCUCAGAGGCAGCAGUCGCUGGCUCGGAAGGAUGUUUUCGUACUCUGGUGGUAUGAGCCAGCUUCUAGACAGAUCAAACACAGGGGCGUGAAAAGAGCGUUCACAUGGUCGACCACCAACAGUCUAACAUCUAUUUCCACUCGCUGAAGCAUGAGGUUCUGCUUGAAUGCAGACUGUUAAAAGUGUGGGAAAUAGCAACUUUUACAUGGAUUAACUUUAAUACAUUUGUACUGUAUGUGAUCAAUGAGACAUUUUCCUUGGGUGGCCCCCGAGGAAAACUUUCUAAUCCUCAUAAAAAAAGUAUGGUGUUUGAGCAGGCAGAAUCUUUUAGGCUCAGAAGAUGCAAUGAUUUCUACGUUGCAGCAGCAAACAGCUAAAAGUCACUGUAGAUGUAUCAGAACUGUAUCAGAGCUCAGAGAUAGCAAACACACUCCUGAAGGCUCUAGAAAUUAAAGGAUAAAUUGGCAUAAUUUCUCUUUUUGUCAAAAAAAUAAAUCCCUCAAAUAAUGCUGAAGACAAUAUGAUGUGGUGUGAUGAUGUUUUUUGUCUUUGGCCAUUUUUUAGUCUCAUUGGUGCGAAAUGUCACAUGCCUUGUGUGCGUCAUGAUUUUUUCACUGAACCUGUUCCAACUGCAACUGCAACACAUUUUGCUUUUAUUGAUAAACUAAAAUCUUCCACGUCAACCAAGCGUGAAACAUAUUUUCCUUACAAAAAGUUUUUAUUACAUGAAAAAAUCAACAACAUUUAAAAAUAACCGGAUGGGAAUUACACUUCUUAGUUUUUUAAUUUUUUUUUAAUUUUUUGGACAAAGAUGGAUUUUAUUCUAUUCAUGGGAUUUGUUGGCAAGAAGAACAAUUUCGACUCUUUUUUUUUUUAAAGCUACCAAGCCAAUGACACUGUAUACAACCAGGACCUCAACAAAGAAUGGCCUGACAUAAUUGACAUUGCUAAUCCACAGUUACUUGCGCAUAGGUACAUAAUGCUCUGUCUGUAGCUAUCUCACACCAAAAAUUGCUUUGCACGGUGCCGACCCUAAAAGCUUCCCUGGUGCGCCUCGAGCUAAUUUUUCACCUCAUUAGUCUGGACGGACAUAAAAACUGGGACACAGUGAGGACAAAGCAGGUUUGUGUGUAUACAUCCGCAGCAGGAGAGCGUGGGACAAUGCAGUGGAGAGGGAGGCCAUGUUAACUGGAGUGUUUGUACACCACAGUUCUCAUCGGGCAUAAUGGCAGUGAAUUAUGUGAUAAGAAAGGGCAGCAGUGCAUCACAGAGACUCACGUGCGUGUGUCAUGUAGAAGUACUUCCACCUAUAUGUGUGUGUCGAUAGGUGAUUGCACACACACACACACACGUAUGGUCUAACCAGGAGGCGAGGGCAGGAUUUGACACUGAUGAAUGAUGUGAGCAGGGCUGUUCUCUC